GGGUUGUGAGGUUAAGCGACUAAGCGUACACGGUGGAUGCCCUGGCAGUCAGAGGCGAUGAAGGGCGUGCUAAUCUGCGAUAAGCGCCGGUAAGGUGAUAUGAACCGUUAUAACCGGCGAUACCCGAAUGGGGAAACCCAGUGUGACUUGUCACACUAUCAUUAACUGAAUCCAUAGGUUAAUGAGGCGAACCGGGGGAACUGAAACAUCUAAGUACCCCGAGGAAAAGAAAUCAACCGAGAUUCCCCCAGUAGCGGCGAGCGAACGGGGAGGAGCCCAGAGCCUGAAUCAGCAUGUGUGUUAGUGGAAGCGUCUGGAAAGGCGCGCGAUACAGGGUGACAGCCCCGUACACAAAAGCGCAUGUGCUGUGAGCUCGAUGAGUAGGGCGGGACACGUGGUAUCCUGUCUGAAUAUGGGGGGACCAUCCUCCAAGGCUAAAUACUCCUGACUGACCGAUAGUGAACCAGUACCGUGAGGGAAAGGCGAAAAGAACCCCGGCGAGGGGAGUGAAAAAGAACCUGAAACCGUGUACGUACAAGCAGUGGGAGCCCCACCACCAAAGCAUUCUCUGGUGUUGAAGGCCCUGCAAAGCAGCAUCGCGGUGGCGGAGCGUCGUUUGCGACGCCCGACACACAAAACAAGCGGUGAGUGCUUUGGGGUGGGGUGACUGCGUACCUUUUGUAUAAUGGGUCAGCGACUUAUAUUCUGUAGCAAGGUUAACCGUAUAGGGGAGCCGGAGGGAAACCGAGUCUUAAUUGGGCGUUAAGUUGCAGGGUAUAGACCCGAAACCCGGUGAUCUAGCCAUGGGCAGGUUGAAGGUUGGGUAACACUAACUGGAGGACCGAACCGACUAAUGUUGAAAAAUUAGCGGAUGACCUGUGGCUGGGGGUGAAAGGCCAAUCAAACCGGGAGAUAGCUGGUUCUCCCCGAAAGCUAUUUAGGUAGCGCCUCGUGAAUUCAUCUCCGGGGGUAGAGCACUGUUUCGGCUAGGGGGUCAUCCCGACUUACCAACCCGAUGCAAACUGCGAAUACCGGAGAAUGUUAUCACGGGAGACACACGGCGGGUGCUAACGUCCGUCGUGAAGAGGGAAACAACCCAGACCGCCAGCUAAGGUCCCAAAGU
rnacentral:rRNA from 1 species